rnacentral:rRNA from 1 species
GCCAGUGGUGAACUCCACAUCCGCAUCCUUUGCUGAGGAUACGGUUAACGGAGCGAAAGCGACGUUCAACCGCAAAACAAGCAGAGGGGGCUUAGUGGUGGGGUGACUGCGUACCUUUUGUAUAAUGGGUCAGCGACUUAUAUUCUGUAGCAAGGUUAACCGAAUAGGGGAGCCGGAGGGAAACCGAGUCUUAAUUGGGCGUUAAGUUGCAGGGUAUAGACCCGAAACCCGGUGAUCUAGCCAUGGGCAGGUUGAAGGUUGGGUAACACUAACUGGAGGACCGAACCGACUAAUGUUGAAAAAUUAGCGGAUGACCUGUGGCUGGGGGUGAAAGGCCAAUCAAACCGGGAGAUAGCUGGUUCUCCCCGAAAGCUAUUUAGGUAGCGCCUCGUGAAUUCAUCUCCGGGGGUAGAGCACUGUUUCGGCUAGGGGGCCAUCCCGGCUUACCAACCCGAUGCAAACUGCGAAUACCGGAGAAUGUUAUCACGGGAGACACACGGCGGGUGCUAACGUCCGUCGUGAAGAGGGAAACAACCCAGACCGCCAGCUAAGGUCCCAAAGUCAUGGUUAAGUGGGAAACGAUGUGGGAAGGCCCAGACAGCCAGGAUGUUGGCUUAGAAGCAGCCAUCAUUUAAAGAAAGCGUAAUAGCUCACUGGUCGAGUCGGCCUGCGCGGAAGAUGUAACGGGGCUAAACCAUGCACCGAAGCUGCGGCAGCGAACGUAUCACCCAAGACAACUUUACGGAGUUGACGAUUGACGGAGCGAAGCGACGUCAAAGCGUUCAUUAAAGUCGAGUUGGCUUAGGGAUACGUUCGUUGGGUAGGGGAGCGUUCUGUAAGCCUGUGAAGGUGUGUCGUGAGGCAUGCUGGAGGUAUCAGAAGUGCGAAUGCUGACAUAAGUAACGAUAAAGCGGGUGAAAAGCCCGCUCGCCGGAAGACCAAGGGUUCCUGUCCAACGUUAAUCGGGGCAGGGUGAGUCGACCCCUAAGGCGAGGCCGAAAGGCGUAGUCGAUGGGAAACGGGUUAAUAUUCCCGUACUUGGUGUUACUGCGAAGGGGGGACGGAGAAGGCUAUGUUGGCCGGGCGACGGUUGUCCCGGUUUAAGCGUGUAGGUGUGUGUUCCAGGUAAAUCCGGUUCACUUUAACACUGAGGCGUGACGACGAGGCACUACGGUGCUGAAGCAACAAAUGCCCUGCUUCCAGGAAAA